AUGGUGGCCUCAGCAAAAAUGAAGAAUAAGAAGGAGAAGACUAUCUCCCUGACAGGCUUUCUGGCUGAGGAUGGGGGAACUAGUAGAGGAAGCACAUAUGUACCCAAACCAGUCAGCUGGGCUGGUGAAACAGAUGACCUGGAAGGAGCUGUUUCAACCACUUGGCACAGUAAUGAUGAUGAUGUGUAUAGGGCACCGCCAAUUGACUGUUCCAUCCUUCCCACUGCUCCAUGGGCUCCGGAAACCCAAUAUCGACUGGAACCGUCUUCCCAAAUCACCACCCUACACUGCUUUUCUAGGGAACCUGCCCUAUGAUGUGACAGAAGACUUGAUUAAGGAAUUCUUUAGAGGAUUAAAUGUCAGUGCAGUGUGUUUACCCCAUGAACCCAGCAAUCCAGAGAGGUUGAAAGGUUUUGGUUCUGCUGAGUUUGAGGACCUGGAUUCCCUUCUAAGUGCUCUGAGUCUCAAUGAAGAGUCCCUAGGUAACAGGAGAAUUCGAUGGAAGUUGCUGAUCAAGCACAGGAUAAAGACCGGGAUGAUCGCUCUUUUGGCCAGGAUAGAAAUCGGGAUUCCGACAAAACAGAUACAGACUGUAGACCCCAUCCUACCACAGACAGCUUUGAUGACUACCUACUCAAGAAGAGCUGAUGAUAGCUUUGGAGAUAAGUAUCGAGAUCGUUAUGAUUCAGAUCAGUAUUGGGAUGGGUAUCGUGAUGGCUAUCAGGAUGGCCCACGCAGGGACACGGAUCGAUAUGGGGGCCUGGAUCGAUACAGUGACCAAGGCACAAGAGACUACAAUAGAGGCUAUGAUUCCAGGACAGGCAGUGGCAGAAGGGCAUUUGGUAGUGGGUAUCACAGAGACGAUGACUACAGGGGAGGCAGGGACCGCUAUGAAGACCGUUAUGACAGACGGGAUGAUAGAUCAUGGAGCUCCAGAGAUGAUUACUCUCAGGAUGAUUAUAGGCAUGAUGAUAGAGGUCCCCCCAAAGACCCAAACUGAAUUAAAGCCUUGGAGUACUUCUAAGGAAAAUGAUUCCUCUGCUAGCACCUCCCAGUCCAGUCGAGCGGCUUCUAUCUUUGGAGGAGCAAAGCCCGUUGACACAGCUGCUAGAGAGAGAGAAGUAAAAAAGCGACUACAAAAGGAACAAGAAAAAUUACAAUGUCAGCUGGAUGAGCCAAAACUAGAACGAUGGUCUCGGAAGAGACACCCAAGCUGGAGAAGUGAAGAAGAAACUCAGGAAUGGAACAGUCGAGGACAGGAAGGUGUCAUCGCAGACUGGGACCUCAGCUACAUCUGGCAGAAAUGUGCGAAGGAGAGAGAGUGAGGAGUCUCUAGAAAAUGAAACACUUAAUAAGGAGGAAGACUGUCACUCUCCAACUUCUAAGCCACCCAAACCUGAUCAGCCCCUAAAGGUAAUGCCAGCUCCUCCACCAAAGGAGUAAGCUUGGGUGAAGCAGGUUCUAACCCUCCUGCUCCAUCUCAGAGCUCAGACACAGAGCAGCAGUCUCCUACAAGUGGUGGAGGGAAACUAGCUUCAGCUCAGCCAUCUGAGGAAGGACCAGCAAGGAAAGCAGAUGAAAAUAAAGUAGAUGGGGUGAGUGUCCCAAAAGGCCAAACUGGGAACUCCAGCCGUGGUCCAGGAGAUGGAGGGAACAAAGACCACUGGAAGGAGUCAGAGAAGAAAGAUGGCAAAAAGGAUCAAGACUCCAGAUCUGCACCGGAGCCAAAGAAACUUGAGGAAAAUCCAGCCUCUAAGUUCAGUUCUGCAAGCAAGUAUGCUGCUCUGUCUGUUGGUGGUGAAGAUGAAAACGAGGGAGAAGAUUACACCGUGCAGACCUCAACAUCCUGUGCUUCGGCCUAGUCUCUCUCCACCCUGGAACAUUCAAGAGCAAACCAAACCUUUAUCCAGACAAGACAAAAUAAAACUCACCAUCUCCUGGAGACCUUUCUUAACUUUUUUUAAAAAAAUGAAAUGAAAUUCUUUUGCAUGCUGCUAUAGCCUUUAAAGUAUUGAAAUAACUGGAGAAUCACCAAUGUAGCCAGAGAGAAAAAGACUACAGCUUUUUAAUGGAAAAGUUGUGGUGCGUUUUUCAUGACACCAUGCGCUUGCCUGUGUGACUAGUGCCUGGGGGACUCCAUUGAGCAGAAGUGUAAUGACAGUGAUUCACAUCUGGAAUCGGGUUGGGCAGUAGGGGAGGUAUAAGGAAGAGUGUGAGAUUUCUACCUUUUAAUGCUUCUUAUCCUAUUGUGGCAUAUAUGAAUUCUCAAACAUUAUCUGAAUAAAUUUUCUAUCUUUGGAA